rnacentral:rRNA from 1 species
AAAUGAAUAGACGGGAGCCCGCACAAGCAGUGGAGUAUGUGGUUUAAUUCGACGCAACGCGAAGAACCUUACCAAGGAUUGACAUCCACGGAACCCGGUUGUAAUGACCGGGGUGCCUUUCGGGGAGCCGUGAGACAGGUGGUGCAUGGUUGUCGUCAGCUCGUGUCGUGAGAUGUUGGGUUAAGUCCCGCAACGAGCGCAACCCUUAUGGUCAGUUGCUACGCAAGAGCACUCUGGCCAGACUGCCGUUGAUAAAACGGAGGAAGGUGGGGACGACGUCAAAUCAUCAUGCCCCUUAUAUCUUGGGCUACACACGUACUACAAUGGCGCAAACAAAGGGAAGCGAACCCGCGAGGGGGAGCCAAUCCCAUAAAAGGCGUCUCAGUUCGGACUGCAGGCUGCAACUCGCCUGCACGAAGUUGGAAUUGCUAGUAAUCGCGGAUCAGCAUGCCGCGGUGAAUACGUUCCCGGGCUUUGUACACACCGCCCGU